rnacentral:rRNA from 1 species
AGUCGAACGAUGAACUCCCAUGCUUGCUCGGGGGGAUUAGUGGCGAACGGGUGAGUAACACGUGAGUAACCUGCCCUGGACUCUGGGAUAACCCCGAGAAAUCGGAGCUAAUACCGGAUAGGACCCUGUACCGCAUGGUGUGGGGUGGAAAGUUUUUCGGUCUGGGAUGGACUCGCGGCCUAUCAGCUUGUUGGUGAGGUAAUGGCUCACCAAGGCGUCGACGGGUAGCCGGCCUGAGAGGGUGACCGGCCACACUGGGACUGAGACACGGCCCAGACUCCUACGGGAGGCAGCAGUGGGGAAUAUUGCACAAUGGGCGCAAGCCUGAUGCAGCAACGCCGCGUGCGGGAUGACGGCCUUCGGGUUGUAAACCGCUUUUAGUAAGGAAGAAGGGGAGCUUGCUCCUUGACGGUACUUGCAGAAAAAGGACCGGCUAACUACGUGCCAGCAGCCGGGGUAAUUC